UACGGGGGGGGUAAGCGUUGUUCGGAAUUACUGGGCGUAAAGGGCUCGUAGGCGGCCAACUAAGUCGGACGUGAAAUCCCUCAGCUUAACUGGGGAACUGCGUCCGAUACUGGAUGGCUUGGAUUUGGGAGAGGGAUGCGGAAUUCCAGGUGUAGCGGUGAAAUGCGUAGAUAUCGGGAGGAACACCUAUGGCGAAAGCAGCUGCCUGGGCCUUUACUGACGCUAAGACUCGAAAGCUAGGGGAGCAAACAGG
rnacentral:rRNA from 1 species